rnacentral:rRNA from 1 species
UACGUAGGGUGCGAGCGUUGUCCGGAAUUAUUGGGCGUAAAGAGCUCGUAGGCGGCUUGUCGCGUCGGAUGUGAAAGCCCGGGGCUUAACUCCGGGUCUGCAUUCGAUACGGGCAGGCUAGAGUUCGGUAGGGGAGAUCGGAAUUCCUGGUGUAGCGGUGAAAUGCGCAGAUAUCGGGAGGAACACCGGUGGCGAAGGCAGCGAAUUGGCGCUAUAUUGACGCUCAGGCACGAAAGCAUGGGGAUCAAACAGG